rnacentral:rRNA from 1 species
CCUACGGGAGGCAGCAGUAGGGAAUCUUCCACAAUGGGCGAAAGCCUGAUGGAGCAACGCCGCGUGAGUGAUGAAGGCCUUCGGGUUGUAAAACUCUGUCAUUCGGGACGAACCGGAGUCUGAGGAAAUGCAGACUCUCUGACGGUACCGGAGGAGGAAGCCCCGGCUAACUACGUGCCAGCAGCCGCGGUAAUACGUAGGGGGCAAGCGUUGUCCGGAUUCACUGGGCGUAAAGCGCGCGCAGGCGGUGAUGUAAGUCUGAGGUGAAAACCCGAAGCUCAACUUCGGGACUGCCUUGGAUACUGCGUCACUUGAGGAUAGGAGAGGCAAGGGGAAUUCCACGUGUAGCGGUGAAAUGCGUAGAGAUGUGGAGGAACACCUGUGGCGAAGGCGCCUUGCUGGCCUAUUUCUGACGCUGAGGCGCGAAAGCGUGGGGAGCAAACAGGAUUAGAUACCCUGGUAGUCCACGUUGUAAACGAUGAGUGCUAGGUGUAGGUGGGCUCAUACCCAUCUGUGCCGAAGCUAACGCAUAGCAACUCCGUCCGUUGGGGAGGUACGGUUCGGCGAGACGNGAACGUACGAAGGAAGUUAGGACGGCGNGAGACGNGCCGACGGACGACGACGAGGGAGGUAGG